UUGCCCAGAUCUGAUAAAAAAUCAGUUAUUUUCUUAUUAUCAAGGUCGGAUUCAUUCUCAACCAUCCGAUCGUGCUCUAGAUUGAAUUCUGGCCAUCGGAUGGCGCAAAAUCUCUCCUUAACAAAGUUGGGACGAACAGCAACCGUUGGAUCGAGCGAUGGAUAGAAUCUGGGCCGUCGGAUUGUGCUCAAAAAUCUUAUUCAAAAUUGGAA
rnacentral:lncRNA from 1 species